rnacentral:rRNA from 1 species
ACGGAGGGGGCUAGCGUUGUUCGGAAUUACUGGGCGUAAAGCGCGCGUAGGCGGUUUGUUAAGUUAGACGUGAAAUCCCGGGGCUCAACCCCGGAACUGCGUUUAAAACUGAUAGACUAGAGACCGGAAGAGGUGAGUGGAAUUCCCAGUGUAGAGGUGAAAUUCGUAGAUAUUGGGAAGAACACCAGUGGCGAAGGCGGCUCACUGGUCCGGUUCUGACGCUGAGGUGCGAAAGCGUGGGGAGCAAACAGG